AGGGAAUCUUCCACAAUGGACGCAAGUCUGAUGGAGCAACGCCGCGUGAGUGAAGAAGGUUUUCGGACCGUAAAGCUCUGUUGUUGGUGAAGAAGGAUAGAGGUAGUAACUGGCCUUUAUUUGACGGUAAUCAACCAGAAAGUCACGGCUAACUACGUGCCAGCAGCCGCGGUAAUACGUAGGUGGCAAGCGUUGUCCGGAUUUAUUGGGCGUAAAGCGAGCGCAGGCGGAAGAAUAAGUCUGAUGUGAAAGCCCCGUCACGGCG
rnacentral:rRNA from 1 species